rnacentral:rRNA from 1 species
UACGGGGGGGGUAAGCGUUGUUCGGAAUUACUGGGCGUAAAGGGCUCGUAGGCGGCCAACUAAGUCAGACGUGAAAUCCCUCAGCUUAACUGGGGAACUGCGUCUGAUACUGGAUGGCUUGGAUUCGGGAGAGGAAUGCGGAAUUCCCGGUGUAGAGGUGAAAUUCGUAGAUAUCGGGAGGAACACCGGUGGCGAAGGCGGCGACCUGGGUAGAUACUGACGCUGAGGUGCGAAAGCGUGGGGAGCAAACAGG